rnacentral:rRNA from 1 species
GAUGAACGCUGGCGGCGUGCCUAAUACAUGCAAGUCGAGCGAACAGACGAGGAGCUUGCUCCUCUGACGUUAGCGGCGGACGGGUGAGUCACACGUGGAUAACCUACCUAUAAGACUGGGAUAACUUCGGGAAACCGGCGCUAAUACCGGAUAAUAUAUUGAACCGCAUGGUUCAAUAGUGAAAGACGGUUUUGCUGUCACUUAUAGAUGGAUCCGCGCCGCAUUAGCUAGUUGGUAGGGUAACGGCUUACCAAGGCAACGAUGCGUAGACGACGUGAGAGGGGGAUCGCCCGCACUGGAGCUGGGACAGGGUCAAGGCGACUGCGGGAGGGAGCAGUAGGGAACCGUCCGCAGUAGGGGAAAGCCUGGCGGAGCGGCGCGGCGUGAGUGGUAGAGGUGUUGGGUGCGUGAUGCUCGCUUAUUAGGGGUGAACAGAUGUGUAAGUAGCUAUAGACGGAUUGACGGUACCUGGUCAGGAAGCAACGGCUAACUACGUG